GUACUGAUGAAGAGUCCCAAGUCAGGACGAAACAGUUGUCCAGUAC
rnacentral:hammerhead_ribozyme from 1 species